UACGUAGGGUGCAAGCGUUAAUCGGAAUUACUGGGCGUAAAGCGUGCGCAGGCGGUUAUGUAAGACAGUUGUGAAAUCCCCGGGCUCAACCUGGGAACUGCAUCUGUGACUGCAUAGCUAGAGUACGGUAGAGGGGGAUGGAAUUCCGCGUGUAGCAGUGAAAUGCGUAGAUAUGCGGAGGAACACCCGAUGGCGAAGGCAGCCCCCUGGGUCAAGAUUGACGCUCGAUGCACGAAAGCGUGGGGAGCAAACAGG
rnacentral:rRNA from 1 species